rnacentral:ncRNA from 1 species
AAUUGUCUUUAUGUUGUUUUCUUUGGAAAACUACCAAGCUAGAGUACGGUAGGGGCAUAGAGAAUUUUCGAUGGAGCAAUGAAAUGCGUAGAGAUCAAAAGAAACACCAAAGACUAAAGCACUAUGCUGGACUGACACAGACACUGAGAGACCAAAGCAAGGGGAGCCAAUGAGAUUAGAGACCCUAGUAGUCCUAGCUGUCAAUGAUGGGUAGUUUAAUAAUAUAAGAUAUGUGUUAAAUAUAUUUUUAGUUUUUAUAAAAUUUCAACAAUUCA